GAUGAAGAACGUAGCGAAAUGCGAUAAGUAAUGUGAAUUGCAGAAUUCAGUGAAUCAUCGAAUCUUUGAACGCACAUUGCGCCCCUUGGUAUUCCGAGGGGCAUGCCUGUUCGAGCGUCAUUAUAACCCUUCAAGCUCAGCUUGGUGUUGGGGCCUGCUGUAACUGGUAGCCCUUAAAAUCAGUGGCAGUGCUAUUAGGCUCUAAGCGUAGUAAUUCUUCUCGCUAUAGUGUGUAGUGAGCGCUUGCCAGAACCCCAAACUUUUAUAUGAUUGACCUCGGAUCAGGUAGGGAUACCAGCUGAACUUAAGCAUAUCAAUAAGCGGAGGA
rnacentral:misc_RNA from 1 species